rnacentral:rRNA from 1 species
AGAGUUUGAUCCUGGCUCAGGACGAACGCUGGCGGCGUGGAUUAGGCAUGCAAGUCGCGCGACGCUGCGGAGCAAUCCGUAGACGGAGCGGCGAACGGGUGAGUAACACGUGGGCAAUCUGUCCCUACGCUCCGGAUAAUUGGCCGAAAGGCCUCGUAAUACGGGGGAGGGUCCUGGUGGGGCAUCCCACUGGGAAGGAAGGUAUGGGAGCAAUUCCGUACCGCGCAGGGAGGAGCUCGCGGCCUAUCAGUUAGUUGGUGAGGUAACGGCUCACCAAGACGACGGCGGGUAGCUGGUCUGAGAGGAUGGUCAGCCACAUUGGGACUGAGACACUGCCCAGACUCCUACGGGAGGCUGCAGUCGAGAAUCUUGGGCAAUGCACGAAAGUGUGACCCAGCGACGCCGCGUGGAGGAUGAAGGCCCUUGGGUUGUAAACUCCUUUUAGAGGAGAAGAAGGGGGGCGCAAGCUCUCUUGACGGUACCCUCUGAAUAAGCCACGGCUAACUACGUGCCAGCAGCCGCGGUAAUACGUAGGUGGCAAGCGUUGUCCGGAUUUACUGGGCGUAAAGCGUGUGUAGGCGGACCUUUAAGUAGAAAGUGAAAGGUUGGAGCUCAACUCCAACACUGCUCUCUAUACUGAGGGUCUUGAGUGCCGGAGAGGAGAUGGAACUGCACGUGUAGCGGUGAAAUGCGUUGAUAUGUGCAGGACACCAAUGGCGAACGCAAUCUUCUGGACGGAUACUGACGCUCAGACACGAAGCCAGUAGCAAACAGAUAGAUACCUGUAGUCU